rnacentral:rRNA from 1 species
GACGAACGCUGGCGGCGUGCUUAACACAUGCAAGUCGAACGGAAAGGCCCUGCUUUUGUGGGGUGCUCGAGUGGCGAACGGGUGAGUAACACGUGAGUAACCUGCCCUUGACUUUGGGAUAUCUUCAGGAAACUGGGGCUAAUACCGGAUAGGAGCUCCUGCUGCAUGGUGGGGGUUGGAAAGUUUCGGCGGUUGGGGAUGGACUCGCGGCUUAUCAGCUUGUUGGUGGGGUAGUGGCUUACCAAGGCUUUGACGGGUAGCCGGCCUGAGAGGGUGACCGGCCACAUUGGGACUGAGAUACGGCCCAGACUCCUACGGGAGGCAGCAGUGGGGAAUAUUGCACAAUGGGCGGAAGCCUGAUGCAGCAACGCCGCGUGCGGGAUGACGACCUUCGGGUUGUAAACCGCUUUCGCCUGUGACGAAGCGUGAGUGACGGUAAUGGGUAAAGAAGCACCGGCUAACUACGUG